ACCCACGGUGCAGCAGCAGCAGCGGUGUCCCAGUGCCUCAAUGAGGCCUUUUAAGCUGUGGCGGUGGUGAGUCAGUCUGGGCCCCGCCCCCUGGGCCAGGUGGAAUUAGCCUGAGGAGGGAGCGGCCUUCUCCAACUCACAGUGCAGCAGCAGCAGCGGUCCACACGAGAGUGUGGGGGUGAAGGGUUUGGAGCCCUAAUGACUUGGUGAACCCAUCUGUAACAUCCUACCAAAUGCUGAAGAGAAUUUCCCAUCUAGUCAUACCUGAUGUGGGAGUGAUGACCAUUUUCUACCUUAUAACUUACCAUGAUGUGUGUGCAAUCCUUGUUAAGACCAGCCAUCUAUAACAGGCUUCCUCAACCUCAGCCCUCCAGAUGUUUUUGGCCUACAACUCCCAUGAUCCAUAGCUAGCAGGACCAGUGAUAAGGGAUGCUGGGAAUUGUAGUCUCAAAACAUCUGGAGGGCUGAGGUUGAGGAAGCCUGAUCUUUAACAUCCUGCCAAGGUCUUAAGAUAAUUUGAUCAAACUGAGGAAUCAGAGGCCUGAUAAAAUUCUCCUUACCAUUUGGCAACCUCAUUCUUUAUUAUGAUUGUUAUACUUGACCAGCUUUAUUAUUUAGCAUGUUAACACUUAGUAAAUGGUCACUGGUAAUCAUACAAAGUCACACUAUAUACUCAGAGAACUGUGGUGAGCCAGAAACGAUUAAUUUUUAUUUUUAUAUAACACUUUACAUAGUUGGGCAAAUCUCUGCCCAACAGAUCUAUGGUUAAAUUUAGACAAGGGAGGACAGAAGACAAAAGAGACAGGAAAAAUGGAUAAGUAAGGGAUGGAUGAGAUCAGAAGUAGUUAUACACAACAAGGAUUCAGGAGUAUUUUGCUUGGCCUUCAUUUUAAAGCAAUCUGAACUAAUUUACAGUUCCCUACUUAUUUGUAGAUCAGAGUAUAGUUAACAAUCAAAUGGUUCUGAUUGCAGUUUUCGUACAAAAAUGUGUCUGAAACUAUAUAUUAUCUGGGGGAAAAGCAGUAUGAAAUGUUAUGGAGAAAUGCCUGCAAAAGCAUAUAAAACUACAUAGUUCAGGGGUAAAUGAAUAGAAUAUGCAUGCAAAGUAUAUCUUCUAAAGGAAAGUGCAUACACAAAUGCAUGCGAUUUAAGUGUGUGUGUGUUUUAAAGAGAUUGAAUGGAUUUGUGAUGCAUGGGAAACUGACUAGGGCAAAUAACUAGGCUGAUCCAUUCAUCCCUAAUCACACAUACUUCAGCUAUUUUGAGCUACAUAAUACUGCAGGCUAACUAAGAAUCAUACCCUGAACUUGCUGGGUCCUCUUCUAGCCUGACAUCAUGACAUAUCUAAGUGAUUGGCAGAUGUCUUAAAUGCCCCCUGCUCCUGUGCGAUGUGACAAAAUCCCAUAACAUUAAAUGCAUUCUGGGGAGCAGCCAUCAGUUCUCCCAAGUUGUCUGCUGAGAGCUUUAUUGUUUCUUCCACCUGCCCCUAGAAUGAUUCAUUACAUCCUCUGAAGAAAGUGAAUAGAAUUCCAGCACUGGGACAAGUUGCCUAUGGCUGAUGUAAGGCUAGAGUGGAUCGCUGCUUCCAUUACAGUAUAAUGAAUGUCUUUAUAUGUACAUUUUGUUAAUAAUGAGUCAAGAAAGCAUCCCUGGGCCAUUCUGGAAACUAUAGGCCAAAGAAAAGUCAGGAACAACAGCACGUAGCUGCUUGUUUUUCAGCUACUUCUUUUUAAAAAAGCAAAACAAAAGCAAAUAAUUGAAGCAGUGAAAUAAAAACAGACCAACUGGGACAUUCUCAAAGCAUAUUUUAGCAAGGUACAGCAGUAUGUGAUAUUAAGUUACUUUCUUUAAGCUAAAAAAGAGGGGGAGCAUUGCAACACAUCACAGUGAUGUGCAUUGUUGAUUUUUAGUCAUUUGUUAUCAGUGGCGUAGCUAGAUGAUUUCAGAUUUGAUGUCCUUAUGCACACACAUACCUCUUUAGAUGGUGGCGUGCAUCAUUUCACUCACGUAAACAUGUGUUAAGCCAGCCCUGCUGCGUUGGGGGACCCCAGGCUUUAGCCCCAAAGUCCUGCCCUGACAGCACUACCGUCCAUCACUUAGAAAGAAUGUAGAAGAACGGGAAGGGGUGGAUAUACAGUGCUCUCUUUUCUGGCUUCUUCAGCAGAGUCUUAAAAAUAACACACUUGCUGAGCACCCUGAUAUCUAUUCCCUCUUUUCCAGAAAGAAAAAUUCCACUGCAAGAAUAAAUGAGACUAGUAUAUCACACCUUGCGCUGAGGGAAUUCUUAAAGGUUAGUGGGGCAGAAAUCACCACUGGCUGGAAGCGGUGGAAAAGAAACUAUUUAAUGGGACAAAAGUUUGCUGAAAGAUGGCAGAUCAUAGCAGGAUCACUGGGAUUUUUUUAACGGGACCAAAUAAGCUGCUUCUAGGCUCAUUUUACAGCUAUUCUCUCCUGCUGUGCUAAUGAGGUGAAAACUGACCUGCCUGCUUAAGUUCUGGCUCCAUACUUUGUAAUGGUGUGACAUGCUGAAUAGCUAGCUGCCUUCAUGCACUGUGUUUCCGAUUAGAUCCAGCCCUGAAAUAUAGAACAGAUGUUCUUGCAGCCUCCAAAAGAGCCUAUGUGAAAUUUCAGAGCGUUGUUUUGCUUCCUUACUCCACUGCAUCACAGCAGACCUCUCAUUGGAGCUGCAACACAUCCAUUCCUUUAAUUGCUGUUAGAAGUUGGGUAGGAGACACCUGGUUAACAGUGUGUCAUUCAGUAGGCAAUGCCUGCAGAUUGCGCACGGUUCACUCCAAUCAAUUUAAGAUACGGACAAGGCACAAAGGAGGCUAAUUUAGUUUUUUCUCCUGCUCCAUUGUCUCUUCCCCUGAAUGUGACUUUAUUUUCCUUUAAUCUUUGUGGUUACUGAGAAAAAGUUGUCAAUAUUGAGGAACAACCUUAAGGAAAGCCAAAUUGGAAGGUGACCACAAAGGAUAUAAAUAAUCCAGGUUGUUCCAGUUCAGUGGGAAUUUUGAAUCUGGCUUCUCCCUUAGGCAAGUAGGCAGGCAGGCAGGCAAACAAACAAACCAUAUGAAAGCCACACGGGCCACUUAUCAACCAAGUGUGACAUUCUGCACAUGUCAUCUACACCAGCUGUGGGGAGUCACAAGUGGGAGAACAUUCAGGUCCUAUUUGUAGGUUUCUCAUAGGCAUUUCUCCCACUGUGAGAACAGGAUGGAGAGGGGUUUUCCCCCCAGAUAAUCACCUGUAGGGAAGGACUGCUCAUCUCUUCAUUGUGCAUGCUCAGAUAAUGCAGGAGUGCCACCUGACCAUCCCUAGAAAACAGAAAUACAGACACUGCAAGUCAUGAGACUGAGUGUGCAGUCUAAAUAAAUAACCACAUUUAAAACGAGAUGUGUGUCAGACCAUUACAGGCUAUCAACUGCUAAAGUUUUGAUGAAUGAAAAUAUACAAGAAGCCUUUCAAAACUUGAGUGAUAUUUUUGUGUCAGUGUGUUCAGUUCCUCCUGUCUUUGGUGAAUGGCACUAGAUGCAUUACAGAACAUAUGUUCAAUUAGGGACACACGUGUGAGAGUUGCAUAUUGGUCUGGAAUAAGAAAUCACUGAAAGGCAGGCUUAAGGUGUACCUCAACACUGAUAGCCUUUAGUCAGGGAGAUGGAUUAAAGUUUUGCUGCAAGGCAAAUGCACUCAAAAAGGAAGGAAAAUGGGGAGGGGGGAAUUAGCAUCUCUACAUGACUGAGAAGACAAGCUUUCCUAAAUUGCAGUUUUUAUUUGCUUCUGUUUGUCACUGGUACAGCUUACUGGUGUUUUAAUGUGGCUAAUAGAAAUGCUUUUGAUCAAAGUAUGGGUGUUUGUGUUUUUUUGUUUUUUGUUUAAAAAAGUGUUAAAAACCAGGCAUUUGGUGCUUCAAGAGAAUUGGCUGAAAUUCCUGUGCAAGGGAGAAUGCAUCCUUACAACUCCCUCAACCAGGAAGUGUACUGAUGGGCACAUGGAUUCACCAUUAUGAUGUGUCUCUGGUAAAUGGGCAUUUAAUUGUGACACAUUCCUCUUGACUUAUUUAAAUGCACAAGGGCCCUUUGAUUCCUUCACUUUCCAGAGUGAAAACCAGGCUCCUCCUCACUUUCUGAUAGCCUCUAAACUAGACUGCUUCAAUUGCAGUGAAACCAAGGGGGCUUCAGUGGUGCCUAGAUUUGUGCUGGAAGAUCAUUUUCUCCACACCAGUAAAUAUUAUUUUUUUAAGUUCUAACAUUAUUUUUUUUAAAAAAACACAACAUUUUUGAUGAUAGUUCCUUGCAAACAAUUCUUUAAAACUAUUUUAGAUCUUGCUCAAUACAGUCCAGUGGGAGGAUCCCGCUGUGCAUUAUAAUGCAGGUUGGCAGAGUCUUGCUGUAGAUCUUAAUGUUCUAUUUAUAUUGCUGCAGACUAGUUCUUCCUUGAUAUGGCAGUGCACCCCUGGGUUUCAAGAUGAUUCUGAGAGCAAUGCUAAGUGUGCACUUGGUGUGGUGUUGAGGUACUGCCGUAGGCAGCCUUUCCCCUUUUUAUACUUGAGCGGAAGGAGAGGGAGGCUGCAAGGUUUUAAGCAAAUGACAACCAUGUGCAGAAGCACACAGAGUCUCUCCAAACACACAUCCGUUUAGCUCAGUCCACACUUUUAAGCAAACUGACCAAGUUCACACCUCCUGGACCAAUACACAGAACAGAAUAUAAUAGUCCUUCAGAGGUUUUGUGAGAUUGUUCUUGGCUUGAAAAGCAGAACAAAAUGUGUAACAAAACCGUAUAUUUUAGGAUAAAAUACAUUUAUAAAUAUGUGCAUGGAGGUACACUAUUAUUUUAAUUUAAAUGGGGAUUUUAAUACUCGAAACAAAAGUAAUUCACAGAAUAAUGUGGAAAUGGGAUGCAUGUGAAAUUGGCAUGCAACAGAAAUAGACUCAUCUGUCGAUUUGCAAGGUUAUACCGCCCCAUUUCCUCCCUUUAGGUCGGAAAUCAUGUAAGGGUUUCAGGUAAAUAUAGGUGUGAGUAGCAGAAAGCCUUCAGAAUCUGUAACAGAGGGUGAAUCUGAGAUGAAUAUUUCAUCGAAAAGAUUGAUUUGUAAGUGCCUUCAGCUACAGAGUGCGUACGCCAAAUGGCACCUGCAUUUGACAGCUCUUGAGAGAGUUGUGUGAUCUAAUGAAUGAAGAGUAGAGUAGGUCUUGCAUUUUGUUCUCUCCUUUACCCCAUGUCUACUGUGCGGUCAUUUGUUAUUUUGCACUUCCUCCUGGCCUUUACCUUUUUUGUCUCUUUCAACAGUGCACUUUCUCUGUUCUACACAAUUCCUUGAUCCCAGUUGGAACCUCUCGGUAUUUCCAAAAUACAAAUAAUAACAGGCAUAUCUCCAUUGCUGCAGAGUAGUCAUAAAGGGUUUUUUAUAUAUAUCUAUACCAAACAGUUACAAUGUGCCCGCAUCCAUAUACAUGGGUACCAUUUGUACUUAAAAACCUGCUGCUGCUAAUAAACAGCAAAGCUGACAAUAACACUGAAUCUUUCUGAAAGGCUAGCAGGUAGGAUCCCUGUCAGAAUGAGAGCUUGGCAUGAAAGAAACAUGAAGCGUCAUUCGCACUAACUGUACUUGUUUAAACUUGCAGGGUACAUGUUGAGAGGUGGCUGGAUGGAUUCUUUUUUAUUCUCCUUAAUGAGAAGUUGUCUAGUCAACAUCAUUUCACCAAUCAGAGGCAAGGCUAGUAGACCGGGACCAGAAGACAGUUAAGGUUGAAAAGCUUAAGGAAGGC